CGGGGUGUAGUUCAGUUGGCUAGAACGCUACGUUCGGGACGUAGAGGUCGCUCGUUCAAGUCGAGUCACCCCGA
rnacentral:tRNA from 1 species